rnacentral:rRNA from 1 species
CUACGGGAGGCACCAGUGGGGAAUCUUCCGCAAUGGGCGCAAGCCUGACGGAGCAACGCCGCGUGAGUGAAGAAGGCCUUCGGGUCGUAAAGCUCUGUCUUUAGGGAAGAAAAACUAUGGUGAAAAUAUUGCCAUAGUCUGACGGUACCUGAGGAGGAAGCUCCGGCUAACUACGUGCCAGCAGCCGCGGUAAUACGUAGGGAGCGAGUGUUGUCCGGAAUUACUGGGCGUAAAGGGCGUGUAGGCGGGAAUUUAAGUAAGGUGUGAAAACUCCGGGCUCAACUUGGAGACUGCACUUUAACUGGAUUUCUUGAGGGCAGGAGAGGAAAGUGGAAUUCCUAGUGUAGCGGUGAAAUGCGUAGAUAUUAGGAGGAACAUCAGUGGCGAAGGCGACUUUCUGGACUGCACCUGACGCUGAGGCGCGAAAGCAUGGGUAGCGAACAGGAUUAGAUACCCCCGUAGUC